rfam:Schistosoma rodhaini strain Burundi genome assembly, scaffold: SROB_scaffold0000020
GCACUGUUGACGAGUCCAAAAAUAGAACGAAACUGUCGUCCAGUGC